rnacentral:rRNA from 1 species
UACGUAGGGUGCAAGCGUUGUCCGGAAUUAUUGGGCGUAAAGAGCUCGUAGGCGGUCUGUUGCGUCGGCUGUGAAAACCCGGGGCUCAACCCCGAGCCUGCUUCCGAUACGGGCAGACUAGAGGUAGGCAGGGGAGAGCGGAACUCCUGGUGUAGCGGUGGAAUGCGCAGAUAUCAGGAAGAACACCGGUGGCGAAGGCGGCUCUCUGGGCCUUACCUGACGCUGAGGAGCGAAAGCGUGGGUAGCGAACAGG